UACAGAGGGUGCUAGCGUUAAUCGGAAUUACUGGGCGUAAAGCGUGUGUAGGUGGUUAGAUAAGUUAGAUGUGAAAUCCCCGGGCUUAACCUGGGGACUGCGUUUAAGACUGUUUAGCUUGAGUACUGUAGAGGAUAGUGGAAUUUCCAGUGUAGCGGUGAAAUGCGUAGAUAUUGGAAGGAACACCAGUGGCGAAGGCGACUAUCUGGACAGAUACUGACACUGAGACACGAAAGCGCGGGGAGCAAACAGG
rnacentral:rRNA from 1 species